UGCAGUGCCUGUCAUUCAUCAAGCAGUUUGUUUUCUGCUUAUGGAAUCACAAAAAUAUUUAAUCUGCUGCUUCAUUAGUGCCACCAUUCUUCAAGCUGCAGACUACAGGAUCUUACUUCUUCUUCUUCUGAGUGUCCUGGAGGGACAAGAUUCUGGGAGGUGACAGAGGUCCUCUGACAAGCCAGCACCCAAAGUGUCCCUGAGCAAGUAAAGAAACACCCCUUCUUUCAACUGCUUUUGUGAGGUCAGCAGGCACAUCUGCAGAAACUGCACCUCUUGCUUCCUGGCACAGGAGUCUGUCGAGGACACCUGGCUUCUUCCUGCUCAGCACAGAGGGAGAGGCAUGAGGGUCUGUGGGCUCAGCAGCAAGCAUCUGAAUCUCAUGGAGACGUUUCAGCAAGUGCACUGGGAAGACAUAUGCUCCAUGUUAUUUUUCUGGAGUUGGGAACAGAGCCAGAAAUCUUAACGUUCUGGAAAAGUCUUCCUUCGGCAGCACAGAUACUGGAAUUGGAGGGACACACGGAAGAUGGGGAUGACCCCUG